CUGGGCUCAAAUCAAUGCCUCAACAAACACGGCUGGGGCCUGGGCCGAGCCUGGGGCUGAGGUCUUUCCAUCCGCAGUGCCUGGCCUGCCUCCCUCCUUCCUCUCAGGACGGGAAACAGAAAAGGGGAAGGAGAAGUCUUUGCACUACAAGCAGCUGGGAAGGAAACCCAACUGGGAUAAAGGAUGGAUUCCUUGGAAACGGGGAAAUGGUCCGGGAAGGAAAUUUUGCAAAGGCGGAACUGACCUAUUUGCUGUCAGGGGCUAUGCACACGACUACAUCUAUGUGUCUUUCUGUACGACCGCCUGUCUGUGCAAUUCCCAGCGCCUCAGCCCUAACUCUCGCUGCAGUUACAGCAGCUCUCUGGUCAAGCUGCUCAGGCACUAGGGUUGGGGGGAGGGGACAACCUGGCAGCGCGAUGCCUGCUGGGGAUUGUAGUUCUUCUAGCUUGGGCAGGCGGAUCAACAUCCUGUCACGUCAACAGCCACACCGAGAACUCCAAGACCCAUCCAUCCUUGCGCGAGCGGCGUCCCGCGCUCACCGAUACCUCCUUUGAUUGGCCAACUCGUCUGCCAAUAUUCCCCCUUUCGUCAACGAUUAGCUGUGCGGAAGGACAACCAGAUCCGCCUUUCCAAGCUCAAUUAAAGAGUUCAUUGAUGGCGUUAAUCUUUACAGGGCAGAAAAUAGAUCCGGCUGAGAGGGGAGGGGCCGUGGGCGCGGAGGGAUCCUCGGCCCUAGAGGAAGGCGACGAGAAGAUCGGUGGCCGCCGCCGCCAUUUUGGGCUGGGAGGAGGCAGCGGAGGGACUCGCUGCGCACAAUCACGAACCCCCCUGGGACCCGCCCGAGAGGGGCACGUGGAGACCGUGACGAGCCCAGUACUUGGAAAUCUCUGAGCGCUCUUGCCCUCAAGAUUUCUCUUCUCCAGCCCCCGUUCUCCGAACGACCUGACCUCGCACGUCGCCAGCCACUUUGGGGAACUCCGAAAGUGUGCUGUUCCACUUCUCUUGAAAGUUUACACCAGAGGGGGAUGGGUUUUUGCCCUUUACAGGGUUGGGACACAAAAUAACUUAGAGUCACCAUGGCUCUGGGAAUAAAAGUGGAGCGGCGCAUUUUGGGUGCUUCAGGAACAUCUGUUUGCAUUUUGAAAUCUGAGCCAUAACUUUUUACCAAAACUUUCGGAGAAAUGGCUGUCCUCCGAGAGGAGAAAAAGAACUAAUUCCAAUGUAAUCUUUAUGAGACGACCAAUUCUUUCCGGUUUAAAGAACUUUUCUGCCACAAACUAAACAAAAUGGGGGAGUAUUUUGCCAUUGGUGCAUUGUUAGGGAAUCUAUUUUGAAACUCCAAGUAAUAGAAAAUCACUUCUGUAGGUCCUAGGUGCUGCCAAAAUAGAAAUUACAGUUUUGAGCUACUUCAUAUAUGUGGCGUUUGCGGGGUGGGGGAGACCUGCUUUGAAAAAAAUAAACACUCAACCUUAUGUUACAGCUGUAGCAGCUUCUUAAAGAUUGAAGAUUGAUGUGAAAUUCUUUUCUUGAAUUGCCGAUUAAACCAGCUGGUUUCCUACUACUUGAAAUCUAAAUUCAGAGAGAUUUAUUGCUUAGGGAUGUCUUAAUUUUUUUCCAAAAAGUCAGUUAAAAUUAUGCCUAGGUAGGGGCGGGCCCUGUGGCCUAGUGGUUAAGUCCAGGCUUGCUCAGCUUUGGGAGCCAGUUCCCUCGUUCCUGCACCUACACCACUUCUCAGCCAUGCUGUGGUGGCAACACACAUAUAAAACAAAGACUGGCACAGAUGUUAGCUCAGGGCUAAUCCUCAAGGAAAAAAAAAUUAUGCCUAGGUAGACUCAAAUAGGAGAGUGGGCAGUGAACUUUACAUUUGCGGGUGCGCUGUGAUGAAUCUCAUUGCCAGUUACAGAUAGUCAGCUCAUCCUAAGCCUUUGGCCUUAAUAGUAAGAACCUUGAAAGGUUCUUCAGAAUUGAAGUCCUGCCCCUCCUAUUAAAGUAAUUUUGUAAGUUGUAAGAGUGACAGUUCAUAGCUUUAACUGUUUUCUCCCUCUGACCCCAUCUGUUCUCAGAGAAAGUCUUAGAACUGGAUUGCAAAAAUAUCAAGGUCACCUCCAAUUCUUAAUCCAAAAUUUGAGCCCUUUACUCCUAAGUGAAGCGUUAGUAUACUUGAUUCAUACCGUACGUUGACUUUUGACCUAUGUCAUGUUCAUUUUACACUGUUCACCAGAUCAAGAGAUAAUGCAAGUUAGGAAAUGCUGACACUAACUUGGUAGGAGUUAAGUUAACUAGUCAUAGGAGCUGAAAAAGGCUUUAAAGAUUAUUUUUGUGGUUCUGUGAAGAAUUUAAUGAAGGAGGAUCCCAGACUGAUUCAUCCUCCAUUGUGAAGUAAUCUAGUUAAACCUUUGGAUGCUCCUAAGUGGAGAAUUCUGUACCAGGUGCAGAAAUUUGUUACUCAUUUAUAAAGAAGAAAGCUUAUCAUCCUUAAGGUUGACCCAUAAGUUUUUCCAUUCCUUGAUAAGAAAAGUUGGAAAUAAAAUUAAUGGUCCCUUGGUUAUCUACUGACUGAAACAGAGGACUGGAAGUUAGGAACUCCAAGUUCAAUUUCUGUGUGUGCUAUCACUGACUUGGUUGGCUUGACUAGAGCCCAAAUCCUGAAGAUGAGGCCAAACUGGUCGUUUUGCUGCUGAGUCUAUCCACCUAAUGUUCAACAGCCCUUCAACUUCCUCCUUAGCUCUUCCCUUUCAGAUGAGUUGCUUUGUGGUUUAUGACAAAUUCUACAAACCCUAUAUGCCUCAGUUUCCUAAUUUAAAAAUGGUAUCAAUGCUGCCUCCCUCAUAAAUAGCUUGAGGAGUCACUACUCCUUAGUAGCUAUGUAAACAUUUACUUGCUAUAACUUCGUUAUUUGGGAACUUCAGAACUUUUGCUUCAAAGGCUAUUUGGGAGGCCUGCCUUACCAAAGUGUGGCCUUGGUUGCCCAUGGCAGCACAAAGGGUGGCCAUCCAAAUAGGGUUAACAAGGGUCAGUCUCUUGGGGGUACCAAGCAGUUGUCAUUGUGAAGUCCUCGAUGUUUUACAUUUCCCUGAUGGCCAUCCCCUGGGGACUAGUGGCUGUGUGUGAGCAGGAUUCAUUGACGGGUAGGAGUGAUUCUUUGCAGCAGUCCUCUUCAAGAUGAAGGUGCUUGCUUCUGAACUAUUUGAUUUCCACACUUAAUCAGUUUUUUACUCUCUUGUGUUUAGCUCUCACCAUCCUCCUCUGUCCUUUCUCUCUUUUUUUUUUUUGAGGAAGAUUAGCCCUGAGCUAACAUCUGCUGCCAAUCCUCCUCUUUUUGCUGAGGAAGACUGGCCCUGAGCUAACAUCCGUGCCCAUUUUCCUCUACUUUCUAUGUGGGAUGCCUGCCACAGCAUGGCGUGCCAAGCGGUGUCAUGUCCACACCCGGGAUCUGAACUGAUGAACCCCCAGCCGCUAAAGCUCAACGUGUGAACCCUAACCACUGUGCCACCAGGCCAGCCCUGUCCUUUCUAAGUUCAAAUGUUUUGCUGUUUUAUUAAGUACACUUUUAGUAAUAACUAAGGAGGAAAGUAGAACUAACCUCUUAGACAUUCCCUUCCAUCCUCCAUCUUCUGUGUUUGCCUGAAAGUUGUACUGGAGUUAUUCAGGUAUACAGAAUUAUGUGUUUAAAGUAGGCUUUGGAACUUCAGAUUAAUCUCCUCUGACCCUCUGGAGGCUGGGACAAGUUCUGCUGAGUAGCUUACAAGAGCAGUGAUGCUAUCAUUUUCUCAAAUUCUUGUGCUUGGAGCACUCUGAAACUCUCACAUUUUCCUUCAGGAAUAUCCUUUUUGCUCACUGCAGACCCAGGGCUUAUUAACGCUUCACACAAAGUCAGUGGAUGUGUCAAAUAGAAUAUGAGUUCAGAUGAGAGUUUACAAUUCCCUUCUGAAUUUUUGCUCUUUGAAAAAAAUUUUAACUAAAUGUAACUGCUCUUGGUGUUGUAUUGAGAAAAAGAUCACAUUGGCUAUCAAAACACUUUCCAACAGUUUUGUGUAGCAGCUCAACCAUUGGAAAGAAUUUUGUUGGUGUGCAAAGGUUUAUUAGUAAAUUACUACGAUAAUUCCUGCUCUUGUCCAUGUUGUUACAUCAUUUGUCAUAAUUGAACCGCCUCUGAGUAAACCCAAGAAAGAGUUUAUUCAGGAGGAUUUGUGAGAGCUAAAUUAUUGAUCUGUAUAAACGCAGCCUCUGUUUUUCCAACAAGAAGUGGAAUGAGGUUCUAACCUUUCCAAUAUUCAAAGACAACUGGCAAAAUUGGCCAAACGUUGAAUCUUUGCCUCCUAGACUGUAUAUUUUGUCCCACUUGCAAAGUAUGACUAUUACCCUUUGGUCAGCAGAUCCCACUGUUCAGGGCCUGAAUUUGAAUUACUUUUCAUUUCUAGCAUCCAACAUUUCUACUUUAUGGGCGAAAGAAUAGUAAAGUGGAAUUUUACUCCAAUGAUUUUGUCAAAUGUGAAAAA